rnacentral:rRNA from 1 species
GACGAACGCUGGCGGCAUGCCUAAUACAUGCAAGUAGAACGCAGUUGCGAACGGGUGAGUAAAGCGUAGGUCACUGCCUAUUAGAGGGGAAUAACAACUGGAAACGAUAGCUAAUACCGCCUACUAGUAGAUGGACCUGAGUUGUAUUAGCUAGUAGGUAGGGUAAUUGCCCACCUAGGCGACGAUCCAUAGCCAGCCUGAGAUGAGGACCAGCCACACUGGGACUGAGACACGGCCCAGACUCCUACGGGAGGCAGCAGUAGGGAAUCUUCGGCAAUGGGGGGAACCCUGACCGAGCAACGCCGCGGGAGUGAAGAAGGCCUUCGGGUUGUAAAGUACUUUCAGCGGGGAGCGUUACCCGCAGAAGAAGCACCGGCUAACUCCGUGCCAGCAGCCGCGGUAAUAC